GUCUGGUUGGCUCAGUCAGUUGAGUGUCUGACUUCAGCUCAGGUCAUGAUCUCAUGGUUCAUGGGUUCGAGCCCCAUGUCAGGCU
rnacentral:tRNA from 1 species